UGCAAGUCGAACGAUGAAGCUUCUAGCUUGCUAGAAGUGGAUUAGUGGCGCACGGGUGAGUAAGGUAUAGUUAAUCUGCCCUACACAAGAGGACAACAGUUGGAAACGACUGCUAAUACUCUAUACUCCUGCUUAACACAAGUUGAGUAGGGAAAGUUUUUCGGUGUAGGAUGAGACUAUAUAGUAUCAGCUAGUUGGUAAGGUAAUGGCUUACCAAGGCUAUGACGCUUAACUGGUCUGAGAGGAUGAUCAGUCACACUGGAACUGAGACACGGUCCAGACUCCUACGGGAGGCAGCAGUAGGGAAUAUUGCGCAAUGGGGGAAACCCUGACGCAGCAACGCCGCGUGGAGGAUGACACUUUUCGGAGCGUAAACUCCUUUUCUUAGGGAAGAAUUCUGACGGUACCUAAGGAAUAAGCACCGGCUAACUCCGUGCCAGCAGCCGCGGUAAUACGGAGGGUGCAAGCGUUACUCGGAAUCACUGGGCGUAAAGGGCGCGUAGGCGGAUUAUCAAGUCUCUUGUGAAAUCUAAUGGCUUAACCAUUAAACUGCUUGGGAAACUGAUAGUCUAGAGUGAGGGAGAGGCAGAUGGAAUUGGUGGUGUAGGGGUAAAAUCCGUAGAUAUCACCAAGAAUACCCAUUGCGAAGGCGAUCUGCUGGAACUCAACUGACGCUAAGGCGCGAAAGCGUGGGGAGCAAACAGGAUUAGAUACCCUGGUAGUCCACGCCCUAAACGAUGUACACUAGUUGUUGGGGUGCUAGUCAUCUCAGUAAUGCAGCUAACGCAUUAAGUGUACCGCCUGGGGAGUACGGUCGCAAGAUUAAAACUCAAAGGAAUAGACGGGGACCCGCACAAGCGGUGGAGCAUGUGGUUUAAUUCGAAGAUACGCGAAGAACCUUACCUGGGCUUGAUAUCCUAAGAACCUUAUAGAGAUAUGAGGGUGCUAGCUUGCUAGAACUUAGAGACAGGUGCUGCACGGCUGUCGUCAGCUCGUGUCGUGAGAUGUUGGGUUAAGUCCCGCAACGAGCGCAACCCACGUAUUUAGUUGCUAACGGUUCGGCCGAGCACUCUAAAUAGACUGCCUUCGUAAGGAGGAGGAAGGUGUGGACGACGUCAAGUCAUCAUGGCCCUUAUGCCCAGGGCGACACACGUGCUACAAUGGCAUAUACAAUGAGACGCAAUACCGCGAGGUGGAGCAAAUCUAUAAAAUAUGUCCCAGUUCGGAUUGUUCUCUGCAACUCGAGAGCAUGAAGCCGGAAUCGCUAGUAAUCGUAGAUCAGCCAUGCUACGGUGAAUACGUUCCCGGGUCUUGUACUCACCGCCCGUCACACCAUGGGAGUUGAUUUCACUCGAAGCCGGAAUACUAAACUAGUUACCGUCCACAGUGGAAUCAGCGACUGGG
rnacentral:rRNA from 1 species